AAACCAUGAUGACGACAUUGUACCAGUAACCCUUUUAGUCUUUUCCAUGCUACAAACAAUGAUUCUCUUUCUGUUUGUUAGAAAUUUAUGAUUUGGCCACUCAAUUU